rnacentral:rRNA from 1 species
UACGAAGGGGGCUAGCGUUGUUCGGAAUUACUGGGCGUAAAGCGUGCGCAGGCGGUGAUGUAAGACAGAUGUGAAAUCCCCGGGCUCAACCUGGGACCUGCAUUUGUGACUGCAUCGCUAGAGUACGGCAGAGGGGGAUGGAAUUCCGCGUGUAGCAGUGAAAUGCGUAGAUAUGCGGAGGAACACCGAUGGCGAAGGCAAUCCCCUGGGCCUGCACUGACGCUCAUGCACGAAAGCGUGGGGAGCAAACAGG